CUGGUUGAUCCUGCCAGAGGUCACUGCUCUCAGUGUUCGACUAAGCCAUGCAAGUCAAAUGUUCUUCGUGAACAUGGCGAACUGCUCAGUAACACGUGGAUAACCUGCCCUUGGGACCGGCAUAACCCUGGGAAACUGGGGAUAAUUCUGGAUAACCCAUGAAUGCUGGAAUGCUUCGUGGGUAAAAUGGUUUCGACUGCCCAAGGAUGGAUCUGCGGCCGAUUAGGUAGUUGUUGGGGUAACGGCCCAACAAGCCUGUAAUCGGUACGGGUUGUGGGAGCAAGAGCCCGGAGAUGGACUCUGAGACACGAGUCCAGGCCCUACGGGGCGCAGCAGGCGCGAAAACUUUACAAUGCAGGAAACUGUGAUAAGGGAACCCCGAGUGGCCGUAUACGCGGGCUGGCCAGGUGGAUAAAAAGCAUCUGAAGAAAGGGCCGGGCAAGACCGGUGCCANGCCGCCGCGGUAAUACCGGCGGCUCGAGUGGGGCCACUUUUAGUGGGCUUAAAGGGUCGNAAGCUGGGUUGUUAAGUCUCUUGGGAAAUCUCACGGCUCAGCCGUGAGGCGUCUAAGGGAUACUGGCAACCUANGGACCGGAGAAGGGGAGAGGUACUCCAGGGGGUAGGAAGUGAAUCCUGGUAAUCUUGGGGGGACGCCUGGGGGCGAAGGCGCUCACAGGACGGGUCCGACAGG
rnacentral:rRNA from 1 species